rnacentral:rRNA from 1 species
GAUGAACGCUAGCGGCAGGCUUAAUACAUGCAAGUCGUGGGGCAGCAGGUCUGUGGCAAUACAGAUGCUGGCGACCGGCAAACGGGUGCGGAACACGUACACAACUUUCCUUUAAGUGGGGAAUAGCCCAGAGACAUUUGGAUUAAUACCCCGUAACAUCGUGAAAAGGCAUCUUUUUAUUAUUAUAGCAGCAAUGUGCUUAAUGAUUGGUGUGCGUCUGAUUAGGUAGUUGGCGGAGUAAUAGCCCACCAAGCCUACGAUCAGUAACUGGUGUGAGAGCACGACCAGCCACACGGGCACUGAGACACGGGCCCGACUCCUACGGGAGGCAGCAGUAAGGAAUAUUGGGCAAUGGACGCAAGUCUGACCCAGCCAUGCCGCGUGGAGGAUGAAGGUCCUCUGGAUUGUAAACUUCUUUUAUCUGGGGAGAAAUCCAUCUUUUCUUGGGUGGUUGACGGUACCAGAUGAAUAAGCACCGGCUAACUCCGUGCCAGCCGCCGCAGUAAGAC